UCUCCGUUGGUGAACCAGCGGAGGGAUCAUUACAGAGUGCAAACUCAUAACCCUUUGUGAACCUAUAUCUGUUGCUUCGGCGGCUCGCUCUCGGGCGAGCCCGCCGGUAAUAUCAGUAUCCCUGUUUGAACCCGACGAUACUUCUGAGUGUUCUUAGCGAACAGUUAAAACUUUUAACAACGGAUCUCUUGGCUCUA
rnacentral:misc_RNA from 1 species